rfam:Lachnospiraceae bacterium M18-1 genomic scaffold acPFy-supercont1.3, whole genome shotgun sequence.
CCGCCAUGCGAUUGCGAAUCUGAAGGAAACUGGAGGCAAACCUCUGGUCUGACGAACAGAAAUCAUAUCAGGCUGUAAAUGAGGAUAAGACUGCCAGACAAGUCAAAGCCCAAUAACUACACGGAAUCAUUUGCAGUAAAUAUGGCGGACAUAAGAGGGAAAGAAUGUGUG